UGUUUGCAGCGGUUUUAUAUGCUAUAUUUCAUAAAUUAACAUGAUUUCAAGCUGUUUCUGUAUGAUAUUAAUGAAUUCAGAAUCAUGGAGCUUACCUGUCCAUGCGGAAAUGGUAUUUUAAUCAAGAAUGUAACAACAAAAGGCCCUAAUGUGACCCGUCCUUAUUACAAAUGCCCCGGUUCACAGAAGGCAAGUUUUAUAUACUUCAAUAUAUUGUUUUUUUCUAUAUAUAUAUUUUAAUGUUAUAUCUUAAUCAAUGUUAUGUGACAGGGAAAUAACAUCCCAGAUUGUAAGUUCUAUUCAUUCGAGGAUGAACUAAAGCAGUGUCCCUGUGGACGUGGCUUUUGCCGCACCGCCUUUAUAAGAAAAGAAAAAUUUUGGUGCUGCUGCGUUCAGGGACUUGGUGAUUGCGGAUUCAUGAUGAGGAUCACAUCAACCUGGCAACUGCCGAGGGAUUGGAACUCGAACCCUCAAUCUUCCUCGGCAGCGUCUCAAUCUUCCUCGGCAGCGUCUCAAUCUCCCUCGGCACAAUUUCAACAAUUUCAGUCUCCCUCGACACAAUUUCAAUAUCCCUCGGCACAGGUUCAAUCUCCCUCGGGACAGUGGCACAGUUUCACUCCUUCUGCUACGUUUCAAUCUUCCUCGGCGCAGUUUCAAUCUCCUUCCAGCCCUUUGAUGCACACUCCCUUGGCUCAGGCUCAGUCCUCUCCUCCCAUUACCCAAGAUAGGUCUCGGUCUCCUCCCAGCCAAGUUGUGCUGCUUACACAAUCUCUCAAAGUAGCUCAAUCAAGUGUUGCUGCCUAUCUUAAUCUUAUUGAAACAUGAACUAAUUUCCACGGACUUAUUAUUCCAGAUGGCAAAUACAGUAGACAGUACAAGCAAUUACAGCAUGGAGCGCCAAUAUAAAACUUCCGGCCGUCUCAUUAACCUGAUUUCUAUUGUAGAAGAAUUGCGUAGUACUUCUGAGGCUUUUCUCAAUCAUUGCUUAGAGUUAGGGGGGUUAUUCAACUUUUUGUCCCUUCCUAAAUCCCCAAUUCAUUCUCCUUUUUUGUUAGA